GACGAACGCUGGCGGCGUGCUUAACACAUGCAAGUCGAACGGUGAAGCGCCUUCCUUUUUGGUGGGUGUGGAUGAGUGGCGAACGGGUGAGUAACACGUGAGUAACCUGCCCCCUUCUUCUGGAUAACCGCAUGAAAGUGUGGCUAAUACGGGAUAUUCUGGGUCUGUCGCAUGAUGGGUCUGGGAAAGAUAUUGUUUCGGUGGGGGAUGGGCUCGCGGCCUAUCAGCUUGUUGGUGGGGUGAUGGCCUACCAAGGCGGUGACGGGUAGUCGGCCUGAGAGGGUGGACGGUCACACUGGGACGGAGACACGGCCCAGACUCCUACGGGAGGCAGCAGUGGGGAAUAUUGCACAGUGGGCGCAAGCCUGAUGCAGCGACGCCGCGUGAGGGAUGGAGGCCUUCGGGUUGUGAACCUCUUUCGCCAGUGAAGCAGGCCUGCCUCGUUUGUGGGUGGGUUGACGGUAGCUGGAGAAGAAGCGCCGGCUAACUACGUG
rnacentral:rRNA from 1 species